GAAAGCAGGCGAGGUGAUCGCGACCAGACUUUGUUCUGGUUGAGGAAAGUCCGGCCUCCUUAAUGACCAGGCUUGCUGGGUAAUACCCAGUGCGGGUAACCGUGAGGAAAGUGCCACAGAAACAUACCGCCAAUGACCUCGGGAAUUUUUCCAAGGUACAGGCAAGGGUGCAAAGGUGUGGUAAGAGCACACCAGCAAUAUCGAGAGAUAUUGACUUGGUAAACCCCAGCCAGGAGUAAGGCCUAGGGACAACGGUUGGUCCAUUUCCCUGUUCCGCUUUUGAGUGCCGCUUGAGAUUGUUGGUAACAGCAGUUCCAGAUAGAUGAUUACCCACUUCCUCUGAAUCUUCGUCAGUGGUAGUGAACAGAAUCCGGCUUACGUCCUGCUUUCAGAC
rnacentral:RNase_P_RNA from 1 species